ACGUAGGGGGCAAGCGUUAUCCGGAUUUACUGGGUGUAAAGGGAGCGUAGACGGACGGGCAAGUCUGAAGUGAAAGGCAGGGGCUCAACUCCUGGACUGCUUUGGAAACUGUCCAUCUAGAGUGCCGGAGAGGUAAGCGGAAUUCCUAGUGUAGCGGUGAAAUGCGUAGAUAUUAGGAGGAACACCAGUGGCGAAGGCGGCUUACUGGACGGUAACUGACGUUGAGGCUCGAAAGCGUGGGGAGCAAACAG
rnacentral:rRNA from 1 species